CACCCCGCUGGCCUUGGGCGGGGCGAUCCUAGCGCCUCCGCCAAGGGCUCACCUGUGGCGGACAGGGCAGGUGCUUCCCCCGCGCUGGCUGCUGCCCGGCGGGUUUCACGCCGUGCCAGGGCGGGGUGAAGGCUGGUGGAGCAGGUGAAAGCAGCGCGGCUGGGCACAGGCACCUCCCGUGUGUAGGGCAGGCGGCAGCCUCCGGCGUGGGAAGGCUGGGGAAAGGGCGCCGCCUGUCGCUCGCGGCUGGAAACGGGCCAGCUGGCCCAAGGCAGCUUUCUGCUUAGCAGCUUUGUGACGGUGUCUCAGGUUGCAUCAAGGGGACAGAGGGUGACGAUGAGGAUGAUAAAUAAUAGCACCCAAAACUAUAAGUAAAAGGGAUCCUGGCUCAACAUAUUCUGCCCUACGUGGUCUACAGCUGGGGAUAUUAAUGGCACCAGGGCAACCCCCACUUUGGGAUUGCCUUGCCUAGCUCUUGUUCUGCAUAACCCAGAGACAAGGAACAACAAGGCAAGACAUGUCUCGGCUACAAGUGUGAACUUGAUCUCAAAGCCACAGCCUUUUCCGUGCCUGCUCAGAGGCGGGUUGGCAGCACGAUGAGUACCAAG